ensembl:lncRNA
UUUGCAGCGAGUGAAACAGAUGAUAAAGAGAAAAGGCCGUUCGUCCCUCUGACCUCAUCGCUGCCUUUACGUUCAGCGUCCACGCGCACGCUCGAGCAGAAGCACCCACACACGUGCACGCACAUGGCCGUGGAAUGACGGGGGGGGGCGGGGCUUCUGUAAUGACACGGUCACAUCUCGGUAAUUACAGGAGAAACUGACAGUGAUCCAUCAGCCCGCUGAGGUGCACGCCACGAGCGGCGCGUUCACGCACCCGGUUAUUAUGCAUGAACAUGUAUGGAAGCCGCGCUCGUGGUUUGUAACGUAGAAGAUACUGCCACCGAGGAACCUCCCUCGGGAGUUUGUUCACGGAAAUAUUGUGGUAUUUUAACCAUAAAUGCAAAUAUAUUCCGUCAGGUGAGGAUGUUUUCUUGUUAAAGCCUCAGCGGCCCACGAUUGAUCGUAACUGUGAAGUAAUUAGCUGCAUUUCAUGUACAUCUAACGCUUAUUUGCAUAAUGCCCUCUGGUAGGAUACAUGUGUACGCACAUGUUAUUGCAUUCUUGCUACACGAGAUCCAUUCUGAUACAUAAAAAGUAAAAACAUACCUGUACGAUUCAAUAGGAAUAAAAUACCAACAAUGGAGACAAAGACAAACAUACAAGGACACGUGUUGCACAUGCAUAUAAGGUCACACAAAAGAUAGCUCGAAAACACCCCGUGAUUCCACACACACACACACACACACUCACUCAAUACACGCAUUUGGAAGAGAUAUUUCAACACAACACGAGGUCACGGCAUCGCCGAUAAGAUCUCUCCUCCUGGCACGGCCCCAGACGGCCUCCUGUUCGCGCUCCGGGACCUCGACCGAGCUUUUGUGCCGUGAGAACCACGCCGCCGGCGUCCAGCUGCACCGGGAACACGAAAGCGCGGGUGAACCAGCGACGUAUUGGGACGGGAAACAAGGUCGAUGGCGUGGACGAGCCUCAAUGUUUCUCUCAUUAAAUGGAAAGCUGUUCAAGUCACGUGGUUCAAGAGAAGUAACGCUUCCAGUGGGACGUAAAGUUGUCGCUUCGAGGUUUGAUCUUCUUACAGCAUCCAGAUCAGGUUUACCAGUGAACAUCACACCACUCACAUUUAUAGGGGCAGCUGUUUGAAAUCUCUCUCUCUCUCUCUCUCUGUGUGUCUCUCACUGUCUCUCUCUCAUUUGCUGGAAGCUCUCGCUUGGCAGCGAGCGGCUACGUGAUGGGAGGCUUAAGUGCGUGUCCCAAAAUCUGACACCAGCCAGGAUGAUACUUUGUCAUGUGACAGAAGAGCUGCUGCUCGUCACGAGGGAAACGCCGUCCGACCCCGUCUCUGCUGGUGGGGGGGGGCGACUACCCUAAGAUCUGCCAUUCAAUGACCUGCUUUAACAAACUAUUAACAGACUGUUUACAGGAGUUACACCGAACGAAAAUAACCGGCGGUCAGAUCAACACUAAACCUUCAAACUAAAGCCGCUUUCAAAACAUUUGGAAUCAUUUCAGGAAGAUUUCUAUACGCAGAGACACUACUUUCCUAAUGAAGGGACGGAAAAGGAUCCUGGUCCGAAGGUCCCGGAGCGCGUGACCACUGACCCACAACGGCGGUCAGGGGGCUGUUACUCAUUUGGGGAGGGAGUGUGUGUGUCAUUGCAUCAGAGAUAAGAGAUGUGGUGAGACACGACGGGGUUUGUGCACCGUGUCUUUGCAAUGCAGAAAAGUGGGAACCACGAAACGUUGUGUGUGUGUGUCUGUGUGUGUGUGUGUGUGUGUGUGUGUGUGUGUGUGAUUAUCAUGCUUGAAGGGAGAGUGUGAGGUCCGUUUGCGUGUGUUCGGGUCGGACAGAUAAGAUAUUAUCAAAGUCCUUUUCAAACAGGCUUCGACCGCCCCCCCCGAGACGCCAACACCGAAAUUACAGCACGGCGGCUAUCAGGGGUUCAAAGGUCGGCCCCCCCGAGCGGCGAGGUUGACUUCUGGCGACCCCGAGCGAGUCACGACCACCGCCGUUUGUUUGCUGCACAUUCCAGCCGAGCGUUCACUCGUUCAUCCACUUUCCUUUAAUGUUUACGGGAGAAAAAAACGACGUCUGCGUUCCAUCCGUUAAAAUAAUGAACGUUUCCGUGUUUCAGAUCGUCACACGCGGCAGCAAAAGCAGGGACGCUGUUUAAAAUGUCUGUAAUUACUUUGCUUUUAC